rnacentral:rRNA from 1 species
UGGGGAAUAUUGGACAAUGGGCGAAAGCCUGAUCCAGCCAUGCCGCGUGUGUGAAGAAGGUCUUCGGUUUGUAAAGCACUUUAAGUUGGGAGGAAGGGCAGUAAGCGAAUACCUUGCUGUUUUGACGUUACCGACAGAAUAAGCACCGGCUAACUCUGUGCCAGCAGCCGCGGUAAUACAGAGGGUGCAAGCGUUAAUCGGAAUUACUGGGCGUAAAGCGCGCGUAGGUGGUUCGUUAAGUUGAAUGUGAAAGCCCCGGGCUCAACCUGGGAACUGCAUCCAAAACUGGCGAGAUAGAGUAGGGCAGAGGGUGGUGGAAGUUCCUGUGUAGCGGUGAAAUGCGUAGAUAUAGGAAGGAACACCAGUGGCGAAGGCGACCACCUGGGCUCAUACUGACACUGAGGUGCGAAAGCGUGGGGAGCAAACAGG